AAUAAGGAAAAUGUGUGUUGUUAAUCCUGCACUUACUUCCACAGAAUUAUGACGUCUGACAUACAGCAAGAGUGAAGUGAUUUUCAAGUUCCUAUAAAUGUGAUGUGCUGUAAAGAGAGAUGUGCAGUGAAAGUCAGUCAUUGGAAAGGAGUGUGCCAUCCAGCAUUGCAGUGAACAUCCAGAUUGCACCAUUUUCACUUAGAAUUAUGAUGUCUGGCAAACAGCAAGAGUGGAGUGAUUUUUCAAGUUCCUUUAAAUGUGAUGUGCUGUAAAGAGAGAUGUGCAGUGAAAGUCAGUCAUUGGAAAGGAGUGUGCCAUCCAGCAUUGCAGUGAACAUCCAGAUUGCACCAUUUUCACUUAGAAUUAUGAUGUCUGGCAAACAGCAAGAGUGGAGUGAUUUUUCAAGUUCCUUUAAAUGUGAUGUGCUGUAAAGAGAGAUGCACAGUGAAAGUCAGUCAUUGGAAAGAUGGAGCUGCUGCACCUGCUGUGGAGACUGGAGUACAAGAGUUGUGAAUGCAGUAGGCCUUACACCUCAAGUUAAUGGAGCUGUUGCACCUGCUGUGGAGAUUGGAGUACAAGAGUCAUGGAUGCAGCAGGCCUUAUACCUCAGGCUGUGAUUACACCAAAGUGUGAUUUAGAAGAAAGUUACCAACAUCCCCAUAUACCCUGCAAGCUGGAAAGGCCAUGGGGAAUCUCCAGCCAGAUUGCCUUUACCUCAUUAAGCAUCUUUAUUAGAAACAUAUAGAAAAACAUGGAAGCCAAAUCAUCAGUCACAUAAUCAAUUCAGCCAUGAUGGUAUCCAGCACAUCUCAUUGAGUACAAGCAGGUACAUAUAUCAUACCAUAUAUAAAAAAAAUUUGGACAAAUUUAGAAGUUGGUGAUUGUCUUUGCAUUUUGGCUGAUCACUAGCAUAGAGCAACUCUCACCCUACACUGAGCAGGCACCCAUUGCCCUUGCCUCACUCUCACUCCUGAGAUCUGGCAGUGACACUGGUAGGUCCUCACACCUUCCUCUAAUGCAUGAGAGUUGAUUUUGGUAGUCCAAGACUGGCCCAUGUGUUCAUGGAAGGAAGGCCUAGGAUGCCCCUUCAGCUUAUUAUGAAGGACGAGAAGACUGGAGGGUUACUAGUAAGGACCUCCAUAUUGGGCGAGUUGUAAUUCAUCACUUUACGGGCAUGUGUGACGUCCAGGCUGCCAGCCAUCGCAUCCACCACAACCUGGAAAUUGAUCACAUGACUGUUUUCCUCUCCAGUAGAUGAUGUCAGGGUACCUAACACCAGCAACAUUAGGCACUGCUGGCUUAUGACUGGUGUGGUACCUAUGCUGCUGAAGGGAGGAGACAUUUUUUCAAAAGGCCAUUUUGCCUUGCCAAACAUGCAUCUGGGGUUCCUGGGUACUGCUGGAGGAUGUGCCCCAGGGUCUCUGGCCUGCUGCCACAACACAAGUCACAGUUGACCGUAUCCCUUUGGUGCCCUUUUAGAUCAGCAUUUGUGGUUGGUGUACCUGAUGAAAGUGUAGCUUACUUUAUUAAGUUUGGAAUAUUUAUAACUACAACACAUGUAAGUGUGAAUUUAUUUUUGUGUAAUUUUGAAAUAAAUAUAUUAGCACAA